UACGUAGGGUGCGAGCGUUGUCCGGAAUUAUUGGGCGUAAAGAGCUUGUAGGCGGUUUGUCGCGUCUGCCGUGAAAAUCCGGGGCUCAACCCCGGACUUGCAGUGGGUACGGGCAGACUAGAGUGUGGUAGGGGAGACUGGAAUUCCUGGUGUAGCGGUGAAAUGCGCAGAUAUCAGGAGGAACACCGAUGGCGAAGGCGGGUCUCUGGGCCACUACUGACGCUGAGAAGCGAAAGCAUGGGGAGCGAACAGG
rnacentral:rRNA from 1 species